rnacentral:rRNA from 2 species
UACGAAGGGUGCAAGCGUUAAUCGGAAUUACUGGGCGUAAAGCGUGCGUAGGCGGUGAGUUAAGUCUGUUGUGAAAUCCCCGGGCUCAACCUGGGAAUGGCAAUGGAUACUGGCUCGCUAGAGUGUGAUAGAGGAUGGUGGAAUUCCCGGUGUAGCGGUGAAAUGCGUAGAGAUCGGGAGGAACAUCAGUGGCGAAGGCGGCCAUCUGGAUCAACACUGACGCUGAGGCACGAAAGCGUGGGGAGCAAACAGG